GAUCGAUCACGUGGUGUGAUCCCGCCGCCAUCUUGGAUGUACCGGGGAUGUUUGGGUGUGAAGUGUUCAACAAUUUCCUUCGAAAAUCGGCAAAAAUGUCACGUUUUCUGUGAUAUUUAGCUGAGACUGCAGACUUACAGGUUUCUGUAGAACGCUCGCCUGAGUUCUGGACUGGGAAUAUUACACUUACUGUACGGCCCCCUGUGUUGCAGUGAGAAGCCUCUGUGCAGUAAGACGCCUGUGUGGAAGUGAGAAGACCCCCUGCAUUGCGGUGAGAAGACCCUGAUCUAUCGAGCAGUUCUACAUGCCUACGAGAACAGCCAUGAACGUGGAAGACUCGCCACACGUCCGCGUCAAGGCGGCUUAUAACGGUGACAUCAUGAUAACAUACUGGGACCAGCACAUGACGUUAGACCUGCUACAGGAAGACAUGAAGGAAAUGUGCCACUUUAAC